GGUUGUAUAGUGUAGUGGUUAGCACUCGGGAUUUUGACUGCUCCAAAGCGAAAAUUCCCGCAACCCCGGUUCGAUCCCGGGUACGACCU